GAUGAACGCUAGCGGCAGGCUUAAUACAUGCAAGUCGUGGGGCAGCAUGAAUGUAGCAAUACAUUUGAUGGCGACCGGCAAACGGGUGCGGAACACGUACACAACCUUCCUAUAAGUGGGGAAUAGCCCAGAGAAAUUUGGAUUAAUACCCCGUAACAUAACGAUGUGGCAUCACAUUGUUAUUAUAGCUUCGGCGCUUAUUGAUGGGUGUGCGGCGGAUUAGAUAGUUGGCGGGGUAACGGCCCACCAAGUCUACGAUCAGUAGUUGAUGUGAGAGCCUGAUCAGCCACACGGGCACUGAGACACGGGCCCGACUCCUACGGGAGGCAGCAGUAAGGAAUAUUGGUCAAUGGACGCAAGUCUGAACCAGCCAUGCCGCGUGAAGGAUUAAGGUCCUCUGGAUUGUAAACUUCUUUUAUCUGGGACGAAAAAAGGCUUUUCUAAGUCACUUGACGGUACCAGAUGAAUAAGCACCGGCUAACUCCGUGCCAGCAGCCGCCGUAAAAC
rnacentral:rRNA from 1 species